UACGUAGGGGACGAGCGUUGUCCGGAUUCACUGGGCGUAAAGGGUGCGUAGGUGGCGAGGUAAGUCGGAUGUGAAAGCUCGGAGCUCAACUCCGAAAUGGCAUUGGAAACUACCUUGCUCGAGGGUUGGAGGGGGGACUGGAAUACUUGGUGUAGCAGUGAAAUGCGUAGAUAUCAAGUGGAACACCAGUGGCGAAGGCGAGUCCCUGGACAACUCCUGACACUGAGGCACGAAAGCUAGGGGAGCAAACAGG
rnacentral:rRNA from 1 species